GGGACUGCUAUGGUCUUGACGUUAAUUAAGAUAUAUUUUAUGAUACAAGUCGAGAGAUUAAACUCUCGUUAAUCAAAUAUAAAAUUAAAUGCAAACAAUAUUAUCAAAUUCUCUAGAGCUUUAGUAUUUACUUCAUAAUUACUAGUCUUUUAGAUAAUAAAGAAAAAAAUUUAUAAUUCAUAAUACUAAUUUUUUAUUCUUAUUCUAAGUAAGUAAAACUUACUAAACUUGUGAACGAGUAAAAUAUAUCUUAUUAACGGACGUGGGUUCGACUCCCACCAGUUCCA
rnacentral:tmRNA from 1 species